rnacentral:rRNA from 1 species
CAGCAGCCGCGGUAAAACGUAGGUGGCAAGCGUUGUCCGGAAUGAUUGGGCGUAAAGCGUCUGUAGGUGGCUUUUCAAGUCCGCCGUCAAAUCCCAGGGCUCAACCCUGGACAGGCGGUGGAAACUACCAAGCUGGAGUACGGUAGGGGCAGAGGGAAUUUCCGGUGGAGCGGUAAAAUGCGUUGAGACCGGAAAGAACACCAACAGCGAAAGCACUCUGCUGGGCCGACACUAACGCUGAGAGACGAAAGCUAGGGGAGCAAAUGGGAUUAGAUACCCCGGUAGUCCCUGUCUCUUAUAA